rnacentral:lncRNA from 1 species
AGAUGAUGGUUGGAGCUAAAUCAUAACAUACCAGUCACAGGGGAAACAAGCAAGUAAAGCAAAAGUCUUGUAGACCCAAAUUGCAAGCAAGCAGUAUAAGAGAUCUCAAAUGAGAGUAGAGGAUUGAAAGAGCAUUGUGACUGAGAGUGUGUAUAAGAAUAUGUGCAUUGAAUUGAAGGUUCCAAGUUGUGCUAAGCGCUGAAGGGUUGUGCCCCUUUUAUAGUACAAAGA